GAUGAACGCUGGCGGCGUGCCUAAUACAUGCGAGUCGAGCGAACAGACGAGGAGCUUGCUCCUCUGACUUUAGCGGCGGACGGGUGAGUAACACGUGGAUAACCUACCUAUAAGACUGGGAUAACUUCGGGAAACCGGAGCUAAUACCGGAUAAUAUAUUGAACCGCAUGGUUCAAUAGUGAAAGACGGUUUUGCUGUCACUUAUAGAUGGAUCCGCUCCGCAUUAGCUAGUUGGUAAGGUAACGGCUUACCAAGGCAACGAUGCGUAGCCGACCUGAGAGGGUGAUCGGCCACACUGGAACUGAGACACGGUCCAGACUCCUACGGGAGGCAGCAGUAGGGAAUCUUCCGCAAUGGGCGAAAGCUUGACGGAGCAACGCCGCGUGAGUGAUGAAGGUCUUCGGAUCGUAAAACUCUGUUAUUAGGGAAGAACAAAUGUGUAAGUAACUAUGCACGUCUUGACGGUACCUAAUCAGAAAGCCACGGCUAACUACGUG
rnacentral:rRNA from 1 species